UACGUAGGUGGCAAGCGUUGUCCGGAAUUAUUGGGCGUAAAGGGCUCGUAGGCGGUUUGUCGCGUCGGGAGUGAAAACACGGGGCUUAACCCCGUGCCUGCUUCCGAUACGGGCAGACUAGAGGUAUGCAGGGGAGAACGGAAUUCCUGGUGUAGCGGUGAAAUGCGCAGAUAUCAGGAGGAACACCGGUGGCGAAGGCGGUUCUCUGGGCCGAUACUGACGCUGAGGAGCGAAAGCGUGGGGAGCGAACAGGA
rnacentral:rRNA from 1 species